GAUGCCCAGCUUGCUGGGUGGAUUAGUGGCGAACGGGUGAGUAACACGUGAGUAACCUGCCCCUGACUCUGGGAUAAGCGUUGGAAACGACGUCUAAUACUGGAUAUGACCGCCGAUCGCAUGGUCUGGUGGUGGAAAGAUUUUUUGGUUGGGGAUGGACUCGCGGCCUAUCAGCUUGUUGGUGAGGUAAUGGCUCACCAAGGCGACGACGGGUAGCCGGCCUGAGAGGGUGACCGGCCACACUGGGACUGAGACACGGCCCAGACUCCUACGGGAGGCAGCAGUGGGGAAUAUUGCACAAUGGGCGAAAGCCUGAUGCAGCAACGCCGCGUGAGGGAUGACGGCCUUCGGGUUGUAAACCUCUUUUAGUAGGGAAGAAGCGUAAGUGACGGUACCUGCAGAAAAAGCACCGGCUAACUACGUGCCAGCAGCCGCGGUAAUACGUAGGGUGCAAGCGUUGUCCGGAAUUAUUGGGCGUAAAGAGCUCGUAGGCGGUUUGUCGCGUCUGCUGUGAAAUCCCGAGGCUCAACCUCGGGCUUGCAGUGGGUACGGGCAGACUAGAGUGCGGUAGGGGAGAUUGGAAUUCCUGGUGUAGCGGUGGAAUGCGCAGAUAUCAGGAGGAACACCGAUGGCGAAGGCAGAUCUCUGGGCCGUAACUGACGCUGAGGAGCGAAAGCGUGGGGAGCGAACAGGAUUAGAUACCCUGGUAGUCCACGCCGUAAACGUUGGGCGCUAGAUGUAGGGACCUUUCCACGGUUUCUGUGUCGUAGCUAACGCAUUAAGCGCCCCGCCUGGGGAGUACGGCCGCAAGGCUAAAACUCAAAGGAAUUGACGGGGGCCCGCACAAGCGGCGGAGCAUGCGGAUUAAUUCGAUGCAACGCGAAGAACCUUACCAAGGCUUGACAUACACCGGAAACGGCCAGAGAUGGUUGCCCCCUUGUGGUCGGUGUACAGGUGGUGCAUGGUUGUCGUCAGCUCGUGUCGUGAGAUGUUGGGUUAAGUCCCGCAACGAGCGCAACCCUCGUUCUAUGUUGCCAGCGCGUUAUGGCGGGGACUCAUAGGAGACUGCCGGGGUCAACUCGGAGGAAGGUGGGGAUGACGUCAAAUCAUCAUGCCCCUUAUGUCUUGGGCUUCACGCAUGCUACAAUGGCCGGUACAAAGGGCUGCGAUACCGUAAGGUGGAGCGAAUCCCAAAAAGCCGGUCUCAGUUCGGAUUGAGGUCUGCAACUCGACCUCAUGAAGUCGGAGUCGCUAGUAAUCGCAGAUCAGCAACGCUGCGGUGAAUACGUUCCCGGGCCUUGUACACACCGCCCGUCAAGUCAUGAAAGUCGGUAACACCCGAAGCCGGUGGCCUA
rnacentral:rRNA from 1 species